GUGGGGAAUAUUGGACAAUGGGCGCAAGCCUGAUCCAGCCAUACCGCGUGGGUGAAGAAGGCCUUCGGGUUGUAAACUGCUUUUGUACGGAACGAAACGGUCCGGGUUAAUACCCUGGGCUAAUGACGGUACCGUAAGAAUAAGCACCGGCUAACUACGUGCCAGCAGCCGCGGUAAUACGUAGGGUGCAAGCGUUAAUCGGAAUUACUGGGCGUAAAGCGUGCGCAGGCGGUUUUGUAAGACAGGCGUGAAAUCCCCGGGCUCAACCUGGGAAUUGCGCUUGUGACUGCAAGGCUGGAGUGCGGCAGAGGGGGAUGGAAUUCCGCGUGUAGCAGUGAAAUGCGUAGAUAUGCGGAGGAACACCGAUGGCGAAGGCAAUCCCCUGGGCCUGCACUGACGCUCAUGCACGAAAGCGUGGGGAGCAAACAGGAUUAGAUACCCCGGUAGUCC
rnacentral:rRNA from 1 species